GCCGGGUGUGGUGGCGCAUGCCUGUAAUCCCAGCUACUCAGGAGGCUGAGGCAGGCGAAUUGCUUGAACCCGGGAGGCGGAGAAUGCAGUGAGCCGAGAUUGUGCCACUGCACUCCAGCAUGGGUAACAGAGUAAGACCCUGUCUCAA
rfam:Gorilla gorilla gorilla genomic chromosome, chr3, whole genome shotgun sequence